rnacentral:tRNA from 1 species
AGCCCUGUAGUGUAAUGGAUAUCACGUCUGCCGUCAGUUCUGAAGAUCCAGGUUCGAUUCCUGACAGGCCCU